rnacentral:rRNA from 1 species
UACAGAGGUCUCAAGCGUUGUUCGGAUUCAUUGGGCGUAAAGGGUGCGUAGGGGGCGUCGUAAGUCGGGUGUGAAAUUUCGGAGCUUAACUCCGAAACUGCAUUCGAUACUGCGGUGCUUGAGGACUGGAGAGGAGACUGGAAUUUACGGUGUAGCAGUGAAAUGCGUAGAGAUCGUAAGGAAGACCAGUGGCGAAGGCGGGUCUCUGGACAGUUCCUGACACUGAGGCACGAAGGCCAGGGGAGCAAACGGG